AUAUUGGGGAGAGACCGAUAGCGAACAAGUACCGUGAGGGAAAGAUGAAAAGCACUUUGGAAAGAGAGUUAAACAGUACGUGAAAUUGUUGAAAGGGAAGCGCUUGAAGUCAGACAUGCUGCUGAGACUCAACCUUGGUUUUCCUUGGUGUACUUCUCAGUUGGCAGGCCAGCAUCAGUUUUGGCUGUUGGAUAAGGGUAGGAGGAAUGUGGCAUCCUCGGAUGUGUUAUAGCCUCUUACUGGAUACAACGGCUGGGACUGAGGAACGCAGUGUGCCUUCGGGCGGACCUUCGGGUACCUUCACACUUAGGAUGCUGGCGUAAUGGCUAUAAGCGACCCGUCUUGAAACACGGACC
rnacentral:rRNA from 1 species